CCUCCUCCUCGUCCUCAGCCGGCCCCCGCGGAGCCCCGCGCUGCCGUGAGUACGCGCACCGCCCGGCGCGGGAUGCUGCGGGGCCGGCGCGGGGGCUCGGCGGGCUUGCCCCUACCUGAUGGCCACCGCUGCUUGGCCGGCUGCUGCCGCCGCCCCGGGCAGCCUUUCCCUCUUGGGCGAAAGGGAGGGGACCCCCGACGGGCGCCCGUCCUCGGGAAGCCGGCAUGUGCAUCCUCCCACGGGCCCCCGCACCUAAAGCCUCUUCUUCGGUGAGGACGGGGCUUGCGAAGUAAAUUGUCUUCUGGGCAGACAGCAGUCCUGCGCCGAGUCUUCUUCUGAGUUAGGCACCUGUGGAGAGCAAGGCUUCAGGAGAUGCUGUGCGGCAGCUGGAUUUCAUGCUGAAGGCGGCCCUUAGGGAUAAAGUCUCUCCUGAUGUUACUCCCUCCCUAAUAAUGAACAGAGAUGUUGGGGUUCCCUUGGUAUCCACGGCUUGCCGACUGUGGUGGUGACGUUCUGUCCCUGUGAUUUGAUGCACUUCGGUGAUGGUAAUUUGAAGUAAGCACCACCAGCUGAAUGAGUAUAGAAAAGGAUCUCAAACAGGUGGGAAUGUGGAAAGGCAGCAGCAUCUUCAGGCAGGUUGCCAGUGAUACAAAAGACUAAAUGCUUUCACCUGGGACAGAGAGACUGGGAGACAAAAAGAAGUGAUACCAGAAAGCUUCCAAGAAAGUUAAGGUUUGAAGAUACAGAGCAGAAAACGAUGGAUCAAGAUGGAUGUGGUGGAAAGAGGACCAGUUGAAUGACAGGAGGCAGCAUGUCUAAUACAUGUCAAAUGGUGAUGGUUUCCCUGAACCAUCUGCUCCAGCAGAUCAUCAGCCAUCACAUGGCUGCAGGCACCAGGAGUGGUUUUCUGAGGUCCCAUGGUAGCCCCUCACUCUCAGGCAUUUGCCUGGCAGCCCCUCUUCUUGCUGCCCUUGGGAAAUACCUGCUACUUCACCCUCUGCCACCCAGCAAGCUGAGCAUUUGAGAGGAGGUUUGUCAACCAGUGUCCUCCAGCAGCUGUGGGCCACUCCUUGGGAGACAUCUCAUCUCAUCUCACCUCAGCCCAGCUAGCUGCUGCUGGUGGCCACUGUGAAGAGCUUUCAGGGCCUCUCUAAAGACCAGGGGAGAGAGGUGAGCUGUGAGAUAGGCAUCUGCCAGCUCUGCUGUCCCAGUGAUUGAUACCUGGCAAUAAGCACUGCUGGGGAUCAGACCAAAGCACAUACACACUAUGAAAUUCCGUUUUCUUAUUUGGCUUUUGGGUAAACCGGAGACCAAGAUCAGGGAGUGACAGAAGUCUGUACAGGCUUCCUUCCAGCAUGGUGAACGUGAUGCUGAAGACUGCCUUCAGAGGAAACAGUGUUUGAGUUUGUACCCAAAGGUACCCUCAAUGAGGGAAGAAUAUGCAGAAAUGGUUUUAGGAAUACCUUGCUGUUUUCCUCCAUGGAUAGUGCAAUGAAUGGAUAGGAAGUGGUAGUAGUGGUAAGGCUGUGAUGGAGUGGGGAAAAAUUCAAUGUUCUGUUGUCCAAAGAAAAAUGCAUGUGCAUCACCACGGCCCUUGCAUGCCACCACGGUCUAAAAAUUCAGAACUGACUUGUACCGACAUCACUCAUAAGAGUGGCUAAAUGUGUACUUGAUUAACCUUAUUGUCCUACUAACUGAUUAGGCAGCUUAGGGGGACAGCUUCACAGAUAGUAAUAUUUGCUU